GCAGAGGAGGAAUGAGGAAAACUGAAAUUAGCUCAGGUGGGAUACAGACUCACGAUUUAUAUACCAAGAUUGCUGAGCCUAGUGGAGCUGGAUUUGAGAACACGGAUUUCCUGAGCAAUUCUGAUCAAAUCACUGUGAUUAAACCACAUUUAACAAGGAUAGAUAAUCAGGAUCGUGGUGACUGUGAGAAUGCAGCCUUUGUCAAUUUACAAGGAAAAAACCUCAGGCAACAAAGACUGCUGCUGCUGCUAAAAUACAAACAGCACAAUCCUAGGCAGAAGGAAGACUCUCCAGGCAGAACAAACAUCAGCUGUGGCCAUCCAUAGAUAGAAGUUUGGAGACACAGCAGCUCAGAGCGAUCGGAGAGGUGUCUACAUGUCGGCGGAUGAAGAUAGACUGGGGAACAGAAGGCUUGCAAAAGCACAUAAGGAGAUAGGGACGAGGCUCCCUCCUGAACUCAAAGAGGCUUGGAAUGUUUCAAAAUGAUCUCUGCACAGGCACAAAGCCCUAUAGUGUAAAGCACAGAAGACCACGCAGAAGAACUGGAGUAUCUGCAGGCAUGUGGGAGGUACUGGCAGACUCCAAGAUGACCCACAGAUAUAUCAUUGUUUAAAAAAUAAAAAUAAAAACCUCAGAUGGGGCCUAA